GGCCGUCGUGCGCACGCGAAAAUCCGACCUUGCGCGCCAUUACUGGCCCAUCCAUCCAGCCGUUCCCAUUCAGUCAUUCUAUUCUCCGGUUCCAAAAUUCCCCAGCUGACAGCCCUUGCAGCUCGCACCCUACCUGCUCGGCGCCGACGGCGCCCAGCGUGCCUCUGCAGAUGUUGCUGGCACCUCUGCUCCAUGCUAGGGUGCUUCCAAGUUCCUCUCCCGGUGGCCACAACGGUGGGCCGCGGCUCCACUCCUGCAACAACCCUCCCAUUCCUGCUGCGACGGUCAAGAGCACAGCGCCAAUUUGAUUCGAGAUCGAGGCCAAACCUGCUUGAAGGCCUAUCGAGCAUUGGUGGCCCCUCCUCCCGCUUCCCCUUCAGAUCUGCUGCUCAACCAGUAAAGAUUCAAGCUGAUCAAUAACCAUGGUUUCAAGAAGGGCAAUGUCAUCGAGAAAUAAGCAGGUGUCUGAAUUGCAGUGGAGUUGAGUGAUAAGAAAGUGAAUUUCUGAGAGCUUGUAAUUUUUUUCUUGCAGGCCACAAGUGCGCCAUCUGUAAAUGGAAGAGAACCGGAUGCUAGUGAUAGGGAGACAGAGCCUGAUCUAGAGGCUACUUGUGCAACUGGUGAUGGAAUUGAGAAGGUGUCGUCAGCAGGAAGAAGUCCGGUUACCAAAAUAAAGGGUCCAAAGAAGAAAAAUUUACCUGUUUGGAAACAUUUCACUGGAGUGCUUAUAUGAAGAAAAGGUGGAUGACAUGGUUGUCAUGAAGAGGAUGGUAGAAUGCAACUAUUGUGACGAGGUUUUUUGUGCCGCAAAUUGUAGUGGUAUAUCGUCCAUUCUUGAUGAUUUGGCUGGUCUUAGUAUGAAUGAUAAUGCCGAACAUGAUGAUGUUGCUCCUGCUGCUGAUGGUGACAAUAUUAUGGAUCUGGAAGAGGAAGAAAAUUAGGACUACUUCUGCUUCAGGGACCUCUGUAUCCACCUGUUGCUCUGUUAGGGACGUACUCAAGUACUCUAUGUCACAUAUUGUGAGAGGGCAGACUGCUGCUAUGCUGUCUACCAUUGUUCAUAUUUAUUUCACUUGAUCUGGC